CGUUCUGCGGCUGGUAGAGUUUGUGCACCUCUAGUGCCUCACAGACUUUGAUAAGCAGGAACUACGUGGAGAGCUAGUGAAAAUGCAGAUUCUGAUUCAGAAGUUCUGGAGUGGGGCCUGAGACUCAGCAUUUCUAGACAGCUCCAGGGAGACGCUGAUGCUACUGAUCCAAGACACACUGAGGAGAAUUGAUGGCCCAAAGUGAAUGUCCUGCCCUGUGAUCUGCCCUUUAGCGGAAGAAACAGCAAAACCGGCAUCAACUAAAGCAACUGGGAACAUCAAGUUUUUAUUCAUUUGUUGAUUUGAACAGUAUUUCAUUCUGAUUUUAACUGACUUCUUUUGCAUUAGAUUAAAAACAACAACAAAAGACUGAAAUCUUUCAAGAACAAAGAGGAGCUGGCCUAUAAAUCCUAAAUACAGAUGUAGUGAUUGAACCCAUCUAGGUAGCUUAUGAAUAUAAAUCUCACCCAAAGUUUCAUCCACACUUAAGAGAUAACCACUGUUAAUAUUUUGGCAACUACUCUUGGAAGUAUUUGUGUCUAAAUACAAAUACCUAUGCGUAUGCAAUUUUACUUAACUGUGAUCAUAGUAGGCCUG
rnacentral:lncRNA from 1 species